AGAAUGAACGCUGGCGGCGUGCUUUACACAUGCAAGUCGAGCGAGGCGGGUAGCAAUACCCAGUCGAGCGGCGAACGGGUGAGUAACGCGUGGAUUAUCUACCCUGAGGUGGGGGAUAACCCGGGGAAACUCGGGCUAAUACCGCAUGACAUCGAGAGAUCAAAGGGGGCCGCAAGGCUCUCGCCAUGGGAGGAGUCCGCGUACGAUUAGCUAGUUGGUAGGGUAAUGGCCUACCAAGGCGACGAUCGUUAGCCGGCCUGAGAGGGUGAUCGGCCACACUGGAACUGAGACACGGUCCAGACUCCUACGGGAGGCAGCAGUGGGAAUUUGCGCAAGUGGGCGAAAGCCUGACGCAGCAACGCCGCGUGGAGGAUGAAGUCCGUUGGAUUGUAAACUCCUGUCAGCGAAGGGAAAAGGGACCGGCCGCAGUACGCCGGUUCAUUGAUUGUACUGCAGGAGGAACG
rnacentral:rRNA from 1 species